rnacentral:tRNA from 1 species
GGAGGAGUCGCAUAGUUGGUCUAGUGCGCGCGCUUGGAGAGCGCGUAUGUCCGAAAGGACAUCGUGGGUUCGAAUCCCACCUCCUCCG